rnacentral:rRNA from 3 species
GAGUUUGAUCCUGGCUCAGAUUGAACGCUGGCGGCAUGCCUUACACAUGCAAGUCGAACGGCAGCACGGGAGCUUGCUCCUGGUGGCGAGUGGCGAACGGGUGAGUAAUGCAUCGGAACGUAUCCUGGAGUGGGGGAUAACGUAGCGAAAGUUACGCUAAUACCGCAUAUUCUGUGAGCAGGAAAGCGGGGGGACCUUCGGGCCUCGCGCUCUUGGAGCGGCCGAUGUCGGAUUAGCUAGUUGGUGAGGUAAAGGCUCACCAAGGCGACGAUCCGUAGCAGGUCUGAGAGGAUGAUCUGCCACACUGGAACUGAGACACGGUCCAGACUCCUACGGGAGGCAGCAGUGGGGAAUUUUGGACAAUGGGGGCAACCCUGAUCCAGCCAUGCCGCGUGAGUGAAGAAGGCCUCGG